GAGGGUGUGGCUCAGUGGUAGAGUGCAUGCCUAGCAUGCAUGAGGUCCUGGGUUCAAGCCCCAUGCCUCCA
rnacentral:tRNA from 1 species